CCCUUAGAUGCUCUGGGCCGCACGCGCGCUACACUGACUGACUCAACGAGUGUACAACCUGCUUCGACAGAAGUGGGUAAUCUUUUGAAAUUCAGUCGUGAUGGGGCUAGAUUAUUGCAACUAUUAAUCUUCAACGAGGAAUGCCUAGUAAGCGCGAAUCAUCAGUUCGCGUUGACUACGUCCCUGCCCUUUGUACACACCGCCCGUCGCUACUACCGAUUGAAUGAUUUAGUGAGGACUUCGGACUGGGACCGAUGCGGCUUUCGGGCUGCGUCGGUAUUCUGGAAAGAUGUCCAAACUGUAUCAUUUAGAGGAAGUAAAANUCGUANCA
rnacentral:rRNA from 1 species